rnacentral:sRNA from 1 species
CGUGUAGGAUAACGUUGCGUCAGCAACGGCCCGUAGGGCGAGCGAAGCGAGUCAUCCUGCACGACCCACCA